rnacentral:rRNA from 1 species
CCUACGGGGGGCAGCAGUGAGGAAUAUUGGUCAAUGGGCGAGAGCCUGAACCAGCCAAGUCGCGUGAAGGAUGACGGCCCUACGGGUUGUAAACUUCUUUUGUCAGGGAGCAAUUGGGUCCACGCGUGGGCUUAGCGAGAGUACCUGAAGAAAAAGCAUCGGCUAACUCCGUGCCAGCAGCCGCGGUAAUACGGAGGAUGCGAGCGUUAUCCGGAUUUAUUGGGUUUAAAGGGUGCGUAGGCGGAUCGUUAAGUCAGUGGUCAAAUUGAGGGGCUCAACCCCUUCCCGCCAUUGAAACUGGCGUUCUUGAGUGGAAGAGAAGUAUGCGGAAUGCGUGGUGUAGCGGUGAAAUGCAUAGAUAUCACGCAGAACCCCGAUUGCGAAGGCAGCAUGCCGGCUUCCGACUGACGCUGAAGCACGAAAGCGUGGGGAUCGAACAGGAUUAGAUACCCCGGUAGUC